CGGAGGAGCACUGGCUCAAUUUGUGGGGUAGGGUGAACUGUCCAGGCGCGACGGGGAAUACUUUGUUGUUGCUGGCCGCUGAUGAGGAUGACUUUGUGUUGUGAUUUGUUUUCAGAGACAACUUCGCACCAAAGUACGAAACAACUGCUUCCUUUCGCGUUGCACGAACCCGCACAAUGAUUCUAGGAUGUGACGCUCAGUGGCUUAUCCACGUAUUCACAGCGUGGGCGUGCAACCUAGCACAGCCAAAUAUGUUAUAGAUUCGUUCUAGAGGUCGUCACGUACGUGCCACGAACAGCCGCGUUGCCGGUGUCUGCGCAGGGCCCACUCACCUCCUCACGCGCUCACUAGCGUACUCGUCAGUCAUCAGAUAUGUGCCGAUUGUUACACUUCGAAUCCGUGUUGAGGAGUGGUGUUACCUCGGGCGUGUCCAGUACUCAACGCGUAUCAAGUGCUAUCCAUACUGUUCGGUAAAAUAGUGGCACGAUUUAGCGCUGUUCCAGGCGGAUGUUGGUAUUGAUGUAUGGGGCCAGCAAGCGUAGAUCGACACUGGAAAUGUUAUGAUUAAUUGUCGCAUGUUCUUAUGGCGCCGGUACGAUGGUAUCGAUCUAAGUUACGUCAAUACUCGCAUCCGUCAUGCCUGCCGGAGCGUCCCCCAGGGCGACGUCCUGGCGUCGUCACUGGACUGCCGAGGGGCCUGUUUCCCGGUUCUCUCCAGAAACGGUUGUUCGCACGAUUUCGUGUGGCUGUCAGGCUGUAGCACUUGUGAGGGUAGAGAGCACGGGGAGUUUUCGACCGUGGAAAGUGGUGUCAUCUGGUGAGGACUGGCCCUUUGAGACCCAGAGGCGGUAGGAGCGUGUGAGGCGUGUCAACUGUGGUUGAGCCACAUGGGUGAGUGGAGGCAUUGGAGUCACAUGGUACUGAACGUUCGUGGCGACUUGUCUCGCUUAGCAUUGACAGUGCCUGACACACGUAGUCGAUGAUGGCAAUUAAUGUCAUUCACGGAAAGACUGUAGGUGAUCGCAGAGAGACGGGGCACAGUGAGGGGAUCGGUGCGGUGCAGGAGGGAUGAAGAGAUCGAAGGAGUUAUCGCUCAAAUCGUUGGUGAAGCUGUUUUUGAAAGACUACGGUGCGUCUUCUCUAACUCAUCAAGUUACUGCAUGCUUGUUUAUGUUUGAGACUUAUGUUGAUUUUAUGUGGGGGAACAGUUCAGAGCCACGGUGAUGCCAACGAAACAGAGUCCAGACCAUCUCUUGUCCUCAUUAUCACACCUGACUUUUGGUACGGUGGUGCGGCCGGUGUGUAUGACGAGUGUGGGAGGCGUAAUCGAGUUUCACGAAGGAGGCGUCGCCUCGAUUGAAAGUCUUAUUUCGUCUAACUGCAUCAUCACACAUAGGAACGAGUUCCCUUCGAUGAACUCUCUUCCUGAUCGGCGCAUGGCGAGAUAUACCUUGCUGGCAUCGGCUAUCAAUAUGAGCAGGCAUGUGCCGAGGAUCGUCUUAAGGAGAACGCGGUAUGGAUCGUGCUGCAUGGGAUGCCGAGUGGCAUUCACGCCUCACGAAAGGAGUGACUGCCAUACGAAAUCG
rnacentral:lncRNA from 1 species